CGACGCGGGCACUGGGUCGCUGCGGGGCAGGAAAACUUUAGUGAGUGCUGUGGUGUCAGAAACUUUUGGUUGUCCAGACAACUCUCCCACAAUAUCACAGAGAUGCACUCGGCUCGCUCAGGUUACAUGCAGCUGGUUUUGGUGACCUUGUUUGUCAAAACCUAGAGCGAGGUGUCUUAUGGUUUGGUGUCCCUAAAUACGACAGUGCUGCGUACACGGUGACUACAUCAUGAUGCUGUUAGUGUAAACUAAUCCAUCAUUACAUCUUAGAUUACACUCUGUAGGAAAUGUAAUGUUUGUAUUACAGUUAAAACUGUUCUUCAAUGACUGGUGAUAUUUCUUAAUGACCCAGAACAGUAGCAA